rnacentral:misc_RNA from 1 species
GCCAGCUCAUGUAAUGCAACUAUGCAAAUGCCCUGAUUUUUAAUCAUAACUCAGAAAUUCUACUUGUAUCAAACUAAUAGAGCUCCUUACCGGUACUUUCCUACGGGCAAUGGCUUUCCUGGCUAUUGAGAUUGCCAUUCUUGAUUGGGUGGUCCUAUUUCCUCCAUUUCAUAAAUUUCUCAAUUGGCAUUCAUAAUCCUAGACGUGACAAUUUCUCAAUUCAUCAAACCCUCAAACGCCUCCACCAUCCAAUGUACCCCACGGCUAGUUAUUGAA